CGGGACACGUGGUAUCCUGUCUGAAUAUGGGGGGACCAUCCUCCAAGGCUAAAUACUCCUGACUGACCGAUAGUGAACCAGUACCGUGAGGGAAAGGCGAAAAGAACCCCGGCGAGGGGAGUGAAAAAGAACCUGAAACCGUGUACGUACAAGCAGUGGGAGCACAGAGCAAUCUGUGUGACUGCGUACCUUUUGUAUAAUGGGUCAGCGACUUAUAUUCUGUAGCAAGGUUAACCGAAUAGGGGAGCCGAAGGGAAACCGAGUCUUAACUGGGCGUUAAGUUGCAGGGUAUAGACCCGAAACCCGGUGAUCUAGCCAUGGGCAGGUUGAAGGUUGGGUAACACUAACUGGAGGACCGAACCGACUAAUGUUGAAAAAUUAGCGGAUGACUUGUGGCUGGGGGUGAAAGGCCAAUCAAACCGGGAGAUAGCUGGUUCUCCCCGAAAGCUAUUUAGGUAGCGCCUCGUGAAUUCAUCUCCGGGGGUAGAGCACUGUUUCGGCAAGGGGGUCAUCCCGACUUACCAACCCGAUGCAAACUGCGAAUACCGGAGAAUGUUAUCACGGGAGACACACGGCGGGUGCUAACGUCCGUCGUGAAGAGGGAAACAACCCAGACCGCCAGCUAAGGUCCCAAAGUCAUGGUUAAGUGGGAAACGAUGUGGGAAGGCCCAGACAGCCAGGAUGUUGGCUUAGAAGCAGCCAUCAUUUAAAGAAAGCGUAAUAGCUCACUGGUCGAGUCGGCCUGCGCGGAAGAUGUAACGGGGCUAAACCAUGCACCGAAGCUGCGGCAGCGACGCUGAUGCGUUGUUGGGUAGGGGAGCGUUCUGUAAGCCUGUGAAGGUGUGCUGUGAGGCAUGCUGGAGGUAUCAGAAGUGCGAAUGCUGACAUAAGUAACGAUAAAGCGGGUGAAAAGCCCGCUCGCCGGAAGACCAAGGGUUCCUGUCCAACGUUAAUCGGGGCAGGGUGAGUCGACCCCUAAGGCGAGGCCGAAAGGCGUAGUCGAUGGGAAACAGGUUAAUAUUCCUGUACUUGGUGUUACUGCGAAGGGGGGACGGAGAAGGCUAUGUUGGCCGGGCGACGGUUGUCCCGGUUUAAGCGUGUAGGCUGGUUUUCCAGGCAAAUCCGGAAAAUCAAGGCUGAGGCGUGAUGACGAGGCACUACGGUGCUGAAGCAACAAAUGCCCUGCUUCCAGGAAAAGCCUCUAAGCAUCAGGUAACAUCAAAUCGUACCCCAAACCGACACAGGUGGUCAGGUAGAGAAUACCAAGGCGCUUGAGAGAACUCGGGUGAAGGAACUAGGCAAAAUGGUGCCGUAACUUCGGGAGAAGGCACGCUGAUAUGUAGGUGAAGUCCCUCGCGGAUGGAGCUGAAAUCAGUCGAAGAUACCAGCUGGCUGCAACUGUUUAUUAAAAACACAGCACUGUGCAAACACGAAAGUGGACGUAUACGGUGUGACGCCUGCCCGGUGCCGGAAGGUUAAUUGAUGGGGUCAGCGCAAGCGAAGCUCUUGAUCGAAGCCCCGGUAAACGGCGGCCGUAACUAUAACGGUCCUAAGGUAGCGAAAUUCCUUGUCGGGUAAGUUCCGACCUGCACGAAUGGCGUAAUGAUGGCCAGGCUGUCUCCACCCGAGACUCAGUGAAAUUGAACUCGCUGUGAAGAUGCAGUGUACCCGCGGCAAGACGGAAAGACCCCGUGAACCUUUACUAUAGCUUGACACUGAACAUUGAGCCUUGAUGUGUAGGAUAGGUGGGAGGCUUUGAAGUGUGGACGCCAGUCUGCAUGGAGCCGGCCUUGAAAUACCACCCUUUAAUGUUUGAUGUUCUAACGUUGACCCGUGAUCCGGGUUGCGGACAGUGUCUGGUGGGUAGUUUGACUGGGGCGGUCUCCUCCUAAAGAGUAACGGAGGAGCACGAAGGUUGGCUAAUCCUGGUCGGACAUCAGGAGGUUAGUGCAAUGGCAUAAGCCAGCUUGACUGCGAGCGUGACGGCGCGAGCAGGUGCGAAAGCAGGUCAUAGUGAUCCGGUGGUUCUGAAUGGAAGGGCCAUCGCUCAACGGAUAAAAGGUACUCCGGGGAUAACAGGCUGAUACCGCCCAAGAGUUCAUAUCGACGGCGGUGUUUGGCACCUCGAUGUCGGCUCAUCACAUCCUGGGGCUGAAGUAGGUCCCAAGGGUAUGGCUGUUCGCCAUUUAAAGUGGUACGCGAGCUGGGUUUAGAACGUCGUGAGACAGUUCGGUCCCUAUCUGCCGUGGGCGCUGGAGAACUGAGGGGGGCUGCUCCUAGUACGAGAGGACCGGAGUGGACGCAUCACUGGUGUUCGGGUUGUCAUGCCAAUGGCACUGCCCGGUAGCUAAAUGCGGAAGAGAUAAGUGCUGAAAGCAUCUAAGCACGAAACUUGCCCCGAGAUGAGUUCUCCCUGACUCCUUGAGAGUCCUGAAGGAACGUUGAAGACGACGACGUUGAUAGGCCGGGUGUGUAAGCGCAGCGAUGCGUUGAGCUAACCGGUACUAAUGAACCGUGAG
rnacentral:rRNA from 1 species